UACGAAGGGGGCUAGCGUUGCUCGGAAUUACUGGGCGUAAAGGGCGCGUAGGCGGUUCUGUUAGUCAGGCGUGAAAUUCCUGGGCUCAACCUGGGGACUGCGCUUGAUACGGCGGAACUUGAGGGCAGGAGAGGCUCGCGGAAUUCCCAGUGUAGAGGUGAAAUUCGUAGAUAUUGGGAAGAACACCGGUGGCGAAGGCGGCGAGCUGGCCUGUUACUGACGCUGAGGCGCGACAGCGUGGGGAGCAAACAGGAUUAGAAACCCCUGUAGUCC
rnacentral:rRNA from 1 species